GUGAAUAAAGAAGAAAGUCUUCUCAGGCAGAGGAAACAGCAAGUGUAAAAUCACAGAAUCAUGAAACAGCACAGCAUCUGUAUACGAGUGUGCAUGUGUCUGUAUGCGUGUAUGCAUGUGUAUAUAUGAGAGGCGCGGGAUGGAGUUAUUAUAACCAGUUGUAUAUCUCUGGGUUCUAAGUGGAGGGGCAGGGAAGGUGAAAAGCAAGCAAUGGUAGUAUAUGAGGCUAAAGAGGUAAGUAAGGGCUAAAUGAGGGGCCUUGAAUUCUAAGCUGAGGAGCUUGGAGCUAGUAACAUAGAACAGAGGUUGGCAAACUAUAACCAGGAGCCAAAUCUGACCCACUACUUGUUUUGUCAAUAAAAUUUUAUUGGAACAUAGCCAUACUCACUCAUUUAUGUAUUGUCUAUGGCUGUUGUUGCCCAACAAUGGCAAAGUUAAGUAGCUACUACAGAGACCAUACAAUCCAUGCCUUCACGACCUCCAGCGUAGAAGAUGAUGAGCCAUUGAAGCCUUCUGAGCAGAAGGUAGAGAUGAUUCUGUGUGUGACAGGAAAGUCACCCUGACAUAGUCUUGGUCCCUGCUGUGGAAUGGAGACAACUUAUUUUCCUUAUAUGCCACAGAAGUAUUAUUGAGGGCCUUCUCGAGUCGAGCACCGUAUUUCUUGAGCCCAGGACUAUAGUGAGCCCUUCUCCACACCUGUAGAGACUGACUGACAUAAUGUAUGUGACCAGUGAUGUAAUUGGACCCCAGGAGACUGAACAGAAAUUGAACUGAGGUGGAAUCUGCCACCCUUGGGAUGCUGUUCUCCAACACGUAGGUUGAAGUUAUGGAGCUAAAUGUAACACACUGUUUCCUCUUUUGAGCUUGGAAGCCAAUUAGUAGAAAAUCCUAGGAAUCAAAUAAAUAGAAAUAAAAAUAUUGCCUUUAUUGUUAGUAUUUCACUUCUGAAUAAGACAAACUUACCACCUCAAGGACACUGGCUGGGCUGACUGACUUCAGACUUCUCCCUGUGAAGACUUGUUCCUGAAUGUUCACUUCUGCAAACAAACUGUGACAGAGAGAGAAGACAGACUGAGCUCCUUCUCAAAGCACAUCAACAAGGGCACUUGAAUGUCAAAGCACAAUGUUUGGAGACAUGGGCCUCUCGACUGGACUUCAUGGUCAGUGGAAUGCAUAUCGUAUGCAAUGAGACUGAUGGAAAGGGCAGAUCAGAGAUAAUGUACCGGAAGAGGUCAAUGACAGCAUCAUGAAUCCAAGAAGCUUUGAAUCUCAAACAACCUAGAUGGGAGUGGAGUUGAUGUAGUCUAGACAUUUUCCUUGGAUGACUCACAAAGUAAAUCUAGUGACGACCAAAAAGAGACAUCAAGGAGUGAACUCAGAUGUAGUCACAUGGGUCCUGUGUGGAUGGAGAUGUUUGGUGGAAAUCAAGGAAGAAGGUGGCUCAAUGUGGGGCAGAACAAGGAUAGACUGUGCCAAACAUUGUGACAAUUUACAAAUCAAACUAAGAUAAGAGGAGGAG
rnacentral:lncRNA from 1 species